rnacentral:rRNA from 1 species
ACGUUAGCGGCGGACGGGUGAGUAACACGUGGGUAACCUACCUAUAAGACUGGGAUAACUUCGGGAAACCGGAGCUAAUACCGGAUAAUAUUUCGAACCGCAUGGUUCGAUAGUGAAAGAUGGUUUUGCUAUCACUUAUAGAUGGACCCGCGCCGUAUUAGCUAGUUGGUAAGGUAACGGCUUACCAAGGCGACGAUACGUAGCCGACCUGAGACGGGUGAUCGGCCACACUGGAACUGAGACACGGUCCAGACUCCUACGGGAGGCAGCAGCG